rnacentral:tRNA from 1 species
GCAUCGGUGGUUUAGUGGUAAAAUUAGCCGUUGCCAUGUAUCAUACAUCAAUUCGGCUAGCCCCGGGUUCGAUUCCCGGCCGAUGCA